rnacentral:lncRNA from 1 species
AUCCUUUACAUUUUAGCACCCAAGUGCAUUAAAACAUAACUAUAAUUAUCUUGAAAGCACAUAUUGUUAUAGGUAUUGGGACAUCAGGACAUUCUAUUGUUGUGGGAGUGUAAGGAUACUUGCAGGCAUCUUCAGGCUGUUUUCUUCAUGGGAAACAUUUUGUGAUCAUGGGUUGUGACUGACAAGGAGUGUUUCUUGUUAGUGUCAAGAUGGAGCUGAACUUAAAUUGGUGUUACUCUGGCUCCCCUAGGCACCUGCUUCCCUAACACUUGUAUAGGCAAAAGGCAAAUAAAUGUAACAGGAUUAUGUUUUCCAUAGAAGGCUGAUGUAUGAGAUACAACAAUUUUUUUUUUUUUUGAGACAGUAUCUUGCUCUGUGACCCAGCCUAGAGCAGUGGUGCGAUGAUGGCUUACUGCAGCCUUGACCUCCCCAGCUCAAGCACCUCCGCCUCUCAAGUAGCUAAGACUACAAUUGCCCACCAGCACACCUGGCUAAUUUUUUAUUUUUUACAGAGGUUAGGUCUCGUUAUGUUGCCCAGGCUGGUCUCUGGCUCCUGGCCUCAAACAGUCCUGCUUCCUUGGCCUCCAAAAGUGCUGGGAUUACAGAUACAGAUAUCAGCCACUGCACCUGGCUAACAACUUAAUUCGUAAUGGUUUACUUUUUUCCCCCAGAGCUUGUUUUCUUUUCUUUCUAGCUGGUUUUUAUUUCCUUUUCAAUUUAAGAGUGAAUUUAACAUUCCAUCUGAAGACAAUCUGAUAGCCAUGAAAUCUUUGUGUGAGAAAGUAGUCUCUGG